CAAGACUGUGACGUCAGCAAGGCGGUGGUGGAGUCAUGUUUUGGGCCAGAAUCAUGGGAAGAGAGCUGGUCGGCCCCUUUAGGGUCCCCGAGGGUGUAACGAUGACCUCUGCAAAGUAUGUCGAGUUUCUGACUGACCACUUUCUUCCCUGGUACAGAAGGAAGAACUAUGCUUUCCAUAAUAAAAUCUUCAUGUAUGACAAUGCACCAUCUCAUGCUGCAAAGAAUAACUCUGCAUCAAUGGCUGCUAUGGGGAUAAAAGGAGAGAAAGUUAUGGUGUGGCCUCCAUCCUCCCCUGACCUCAAUCCUAU